rnacentral:rRNA from 1 species
AUUGAACGCUGGCGGCAUGCCUUACACAUGCAAGUCGAACGGCAGCACGGGGGCAACCCUGGUGGCGAGUGGCGAACGGGUGAGUAAUGCAUCGGAACGUGCCCAGUAGUGGGGGAUAACUAGUCGAAAGAUUAGCUAAUACCGCAUACGACCUAUGGGUGAAAGCGGGGGAUUCGCAAGAACCUCGCGCUAUCGGAGCGGCCGAUGUCUGAUUAGCUAGNGGCGGGGUAAAGCCCACCAAGGCUUCGAUCAGUAGCUGGUCUGAGAGGACGACCAGCCACACUGGGACUGAGACACGGCCCAGACUCCUACGGAGGCAGCAGUGGGAAUUUUGACAAUGGGCGCAAGCCUGAUCCAGCCAUGCCGCGUGCGGGAAGAAGGCCUCGG